GAUGAACGCUGGCGGCGUGCCUAAUACAUGCAAGUCGAGCGAACGGACGAGAAGCUUGCUUCUCUGAUGUUAGCGGCGGACGGGUGAGUAACACGUGGAUAACCUACCUAUAAGACUGGGAUAACUUCGGGAAACCGGAGCUAAUACCGGAUGAUAUUUUGAACCGCAUGGUUCAAAAGUGAAAGACGGUCCUGCUGUCACUUAUAGAUGGAUCCGCGCUGCAUUAGCUAGUUGGUAAGGUAACGGCUUACCAAGGCAACGAUGCAUAGCCGACCUGAGAGGGUGAUCGGCCACACUGGAACUGAGACACGGUCCAGACUCCUACGGGAGGCAGCAGUAGGGAAUCUUCCGCAAUGGGCGAAAGCCUGACGGAGCAACGCCGCGUGAGUGAUGAAGGUCUUCGGAUCGUAAAACUCUGUUAUUAGGGAAGAACAUAUGUGUAAGUAACUGUGCACAUCUUGACGGUACCUAACCAGAAAGCCACGGCUAACUACGUG
rnacentral:rRNA from 1 species